rnacentral:rRNA from 1 species
CGCGUAGGCGGAUCUUUAAGUCGGGGGUGAAAGCCCAGGGCUCAACCCCUGGAAUUGCCUUCGAUACUGAAGAUCUCGAGACCGGAAGAGGUAAGUGGAACUGCGAGUGUAGAGGUGAAAUUCGUAGAUAUUCGCAAGAACACCAGUGGCGAAGGCGGCUUACUGGUCCGGUUCUGACGCUGAGGCGCGAAAGCGUGGGGAGCAAACA